rnacentral:lncRNA from 1 species
ACGUCAUAAGGACACUCAAGAAGCCCUAUAGAAGAGCUCACAUGGUAAAGAAAUGAGGCCUUCUGCCAACAGCCAGUGAGGAACUAAGCCCUGCUGGCAGCUGCCAGAUGAGCAAGCCAUCUUGGAAGAAGACCCCCAGACUGUUAAGCCUUCAGAUAACUGCAGCCCCAGCUGACACAAGAAACCAGAGUCAGAAUCACUCAGCAAGGCAUUCCUGAAUUUCUGACCCACAGAAAUUCUAAUCAGCUUCCUUCAAAUUGGAUUUCGUAGUGAUAUGGAUCUGUUCACAGUCUUAUGGAGGCUGAUGCUGGCAUUUGAAUGCAGUUCCUCGAGGCUUUCCGAUGAGCUAAGGUGUAGCCAAGAUGAGAAGUAUGUACGCAGGAGUGAAAGAAGUUGAUGUGUUCUACUGGGGAUCUGUCGGGUUUGAGGAGCCAAUGGGACAGUCAAGUAUACAUGAACAACAGACAACUGGAAGUGAGGAAUUGAGACACAGCUACAGCCAGAAUCCACUGGGGG